AGUGAACGCUGGCGGUAGGCCUAACACAUGCAAGUCGAACGGCAGCACAGUACGAGCUUGCUCUUACGGGUGGCGAGUGGCGGACGGGUGAGGAAUACAUCGGAAUCUACUUUUUCGUGGGGGAUAACGUAGGAAACGUACGCUCACACCGCAUUCCCCCUACGGGUGAAAGCAAGGGGUCCUGCGACCUUGCGCCACUUGAUGAGCCGAUGUCGGAUUAGCUAGUUGGCGGGGUAAAGGCCCACCAAGGCGACGAUCCGUAGCUGUUCUGAGAGGAUGAUCAGCCACACUGGAACUGAGACACGGUCCAGACUCCUACGGGAGGCAGCAGUGGGGAAUAUUGGACAAUGGGCGCAAGCCUGAUCCAGCCAUACCGCGUGGGUGAAGAAGGCCUUCGGGUUGUAAAGCCCUUUUGUUGGGAAAGAAGAGCAGCAGGUUAAUACCCCGCUGUUCUGACGGUACCCAAAGAAUAAGCACCGGCUAACUUCGUG
rnacentral:rRNA from 1 species